rnacentral:rRNA from 1 species
GCCAAAAAUCUAGCCCUAUAUUUAUUAAUGACCCCCCCCCCCCUUUUUUUAUUUAACUAAAACAUUUUCUACGUUUAGUAAAGGAGAUAAAAAGACUCAUUGGAGCGAUAGACACUAGUACCGCAAGGAAAAGAUGAAAUAAAAUUGAAAGAAAUUUUAAGCAUGAAAAAGCAGAGCUUUUCCCUCGUACCUUUUGCAUCAUGGUUUAACUAGUAACAUUAGGCAAAAAGAACUAUAGUUUAACCCCCCGAAACUAGACGAGCUACUUCGAGGCAGCUUAAUGAGCGAACCCGUCUCUGUUGCAAAAGAGUGGGACGACCUCAAAGUAGCGGUGACAGACCUAACGAGCCUAGUGAUAGCUGGUUGCUUAAGAAAAGGAUUUUAGUCCUGCCUAAAGCAUUUUAAAUUCUUUUAAAUUGUACUAAUACUUUAGAGUUAUUCAAAUAAGGUACAGCCUGUUUGAAAAAGGAUACAACCUCCACUAAUGGGUUAUUUUUUAGUGACAUAAACAAGUAGGCCUAAAAGCAGCCACCUUUAAAAUAGCGUCAAAGCUUCCUCAUCAAGAAUUCAAAUUCCAUUAUACUACUAUAAGCCCUUUAUCUUUAUUAAGCGAUUUUAUAUUUUUUAUUGAAGACACUAUGUUAAAACUAGUAAUAAGAAGAAGACCUUCUCUUAAAUGUGUGUGCACGUCAGAAGGGACACCCCGCUGACAGUUAAACGUGUAUGAGCACAAAACAGCAACUUCUCUAGAAAACCCUGUUUAAUCAAACGUUAACCUAACACAAGAACAUUCAAAGAAAGAUUAAAAGAAAAAGAAGGAACUCGGCAAAUAUUAGCCUCGCCUGUUUACCAAAAACAUCGCCUCUUGAAACGAUUAUAAGAGGUCCAGCCUGCCCAGUGACUUAGUUCAACGGCCGCGGUAUCCUAACCGUGCGAAGGUAGCGCAAUCACUUGUUCUUUAAAUGAGGACUAGUAUGAAUGGCACCACGAGGGCUGUACUGUCUCCUUUUUCUAAUCAGUGAAACUGAUCCCCCCGUGAAGAAGCGGGGAUAAAAAUAUAAGACGAGAAGACCCUAUGGAGCUUCAAACUAAAUAGCACUAACUUUUUAAUAAUAAAGUUUCAAAACAAAAACAACCAUUUUAGUUAAAAUGCUAUUAGUUUUAGGUUGGGGUGACCGUGGAGAAAAAUAGAUCCUCCAUAUUGAACGGGGCCUCCUGAGCUAAAAGCUACAACUUUAAGCACCAAUAGACUGACAUUAAUUGACCCAAUAUUUUGAUCAAUGAACCAAGUUACCCUAGGGAUAACAGCGCAAUCUACCUUAAGAGUCCCUAUCGACAGGUGGGUUUACGACCUCGAUGUUGGAUCAGGGCAUCCUAGUGGUGCAGCCGCUACUAACGGUUCGUUUGUUCAACGAUUAAAGCCCU